rnacentral:tRNA from 2 species
AGAUUGAUAAGUUAAAGAAACUGUGGGGUUCAUGUCUCCUUAAUACAUAUUUUUAUGUUCAAUCGA